AAAAGGCUUAGAAUUAGAGCAUUUUCAUUACUAGUGUGUGCCUCUACCCCUACAAUGAAGGGUUUAAGGCUUUGAUUUUUCUCUCCCAUCCAUUCCAAGCCGCGCAAAUCAAUUCCAAUACUUCAGUUAGGGUUAGGGUUUAACAAUUUCAGAGACAUGUAUGCUGAUCGUGUGGAGGCUGCAGGGAAGAGGUCAGUGAAGGAGCGUCUUGAUGGUAAUUCUACUGAAGAUUUUACUCGCCGGUGGCAAAUUACUGGAAAGAGGCAGAGGGAAGAUGAUAAGUGGGAACAUGAUCUCUAUGAGGAGGAUGAACCACGCUCUUCAAGUAUGGAUUGACUGUGACAAAAUCACAGGCAACUAAAAAUUGAUGCUAUUGUUGGAUGCAACUAAAUCAACUAUAUUUGGUUUUUGACUUUUUGUUAAUGGCUUGUGAAGAUCGCAAAGUCAGUUCUCAAGAUCUUCGACUGAAGCUUCAAAAGAAGACUCUUCCACAAUCAUCACAAAUUGGAAAGGGGUCAGGCAUGCGGGAUUUACGUGAAAAGCUAUCUGGGACUAUGAAUUCACAACCAGUGAAUGCUGAUCCACCUAGAAGGAAACUGGAGGCUGCUAAACUAGCUAGGAGAAGUGUUGCAGUUGAAGCUUCCGAGCCAGAGAUUAAAAAGGUUGCUAGGGUGGCUCCUAGAAAAAUGUCUCAGCAAAAGGCAGAUACUUCAAUAGAAGGUUUUCUGCAAUCAAUAGGCCUUGAAAAAUAUCUCAUUACUUUUCAAGCUGAGGAAGUUGAUAUGACAGCUCUAGUUCACAUGAAUGAUGAGGAUCUCAAGGCUAUAGGAAUACCAAUGGGCCCAAGAAAGAAGAUAAUUUUGGCAUUGGAAUCUAGGGGCUGAUAUUGGGAAGGGAAGUGCAUACUUGCAUGUAUUAUGGUUUGACAGUCCAGUUAGCAGGGCUGUGUUGUGGUUGAUAUAUGCCUGGAUGUAACAUUUUUCCCUGUUGGUUUUUCUCUUUGGUUCAUUGCUGAAAGUGGCCUAACUGGCUCAUUAUAGAUAUGAAACCUUUGAAUUUUUAACUUGCGCCAACCAUAGGUUCUUCUUCUUUGUCUCUAUUUUUUUUAUUAGUAGUAGGAACUUUUUAGAUCAAUGAAAUUCUAUGUUCUAUUUGCUAUUUUUGGGUACUUCCAGGGUAUUUAGUAUGAACUCAUAGUCUGGUUAUGAAAUAGCUAGAGGAGAGUUGAAUUCAAUUUAAAUCGAAAUAAUUGAUCUAAUUGAAAUAAAUAAGAAAUUCAAUUUGAUUUUAAUUUUUGAAAAAUCGAUUUAAUUAGCUUGACUUAAUUUUUGUAAAAUUUUUGGUAAAAUCAUACUGAAUUCAAUGUUGUGCGUUUUGUAAGUUAGGGCUACUGCUUUGCUUUAUGUUCCUUUCCUCUCAAUUCUUUCCCAGUGUCUCCUCUCAAUGAGAUUUAUUUUUUAUGUUCUCUUUCCUUUCUCAAGUUUUCGAUUUUUCCCUUUAUUUUCUUCCCAUCAGAGCAAUACUGCCAGAAAACAGGUAGGAGAUCUGGUGCACUUAGACCAGCCCACCAUCACGGCAUUGCCUCGCUCGCAACUCCUCAGCCUGGCUAGUCGCAGCGUUACCAGCGACCAUAACCCACCUUCACGGCGUCGCUUCACCUGCAAUCCCUAACUCUCGCUAGUCGUGGCAUCGCCUGCUACCCUGGCUCACCAUUGCAGCAUCAACAAGUCUCCAACCUCUUAACCUCUCUACUCACCAUAUGUUCCUCUCCUCUCUCCUCGUGUCCUCAAUGAAAUAGCUUCAUUCUCUGCCUUUCCAUCACAAUCAUUGCCUGUAAAUUUGGUAUUGGUGAAAUAUAUUUUUGAUUGUGAAUUUUUUAUUGAUUGGUUGUGUAUUGAUGAAUUGUUGAAUUUUUUGUUGAUUGCCCUAGUCAGUUGUUGAAAAUGUUGCUUA
rnacentral:misc_RNA from 1 species